UCAUUCCGUGGGGUGGUGGUGGUGGUUUUGGGCCUACCUUUUAUUUUUCAGCAGUCAAGCUCAGCAGCAGCAGCCAGGCUUCUUCUUAGUCUUCUCAGAAAGCUAUCGGUGCAGUUUCAAAGAGGUACAGAUUCAAAAUGACACCCAGUUGUAUCCAAACAUCGAUGAAAACCUGCUCCUUGAUCUCAGGAACCAACAUGCAGAAUUUGGUUACCGAGGGAACCAUUUAAAAGUCUCUUACCUUGCGGAAUUCCCUUCUGAGAGAUAUAUGGCUUGCUCCAUCAAUCCAGCCCACAGCCUCCACCGACACCACCAAAAUGACCUCGGCACAAAAAUAUAAACAAGAUCCUUUCACCACAGAGAUUUAUUUAAGAUCACAUGCAUUUUUGGAUAAGAUAGGAGGAGUUCCAAGGAACAAUGUUAUAAUAGUUCAACGAGAAGGAUUUCCCACUGGAUUUAAUCAGAUGAAGUACGUUUCUAAAAUACAUGGAAUCAUCAGAGAUCAUCCUUCCCAAGGACAAAAGAAAAGAGAAGAUACUUCCUUUGCUUGUAAUACUCCUGGUAUCAAUUUAAAAUCUUGCCGGGGAGGAGGGAUGAAGAAACAAGAUCAGUAUUGCAAAGAAACCAGUGUCCCCUUUGGAGCUUGUCCUCCAAUAUAUCCCCUUCCAGUAAUCAAUCUGUCACUGUUUCAUACAUUUGCAGAGUGUUGCAUGCUGACAGCCUUAAUUUAUACGGGCCUCAUUCUUCAGAAUUAUGACGCCAUUUCCCAAAUAGGGGUAGCAGCUUUAAUUGUUACAAAAUGAAGGCUAGCAGUAAAUUCAGGUUUAGAGACGUGAGUCUCCUUUUGACAAGGGUAGGUAACCUUGUGGCUCUCUGGACAUUGCCGGACUACAACUCCCAUCAUCCCUGAUCACUGACUGUGCUGGCUGGGGCAGAUGGAAGUUAAAGUCCCGCAACAGCUGCUGGGCCACAGAUGUUUCCCUCAUCUGAGGUUUACGGAUGAUGCGCGGAGUGGGGAAGCAGAUUAUGGUUACAAGAACAUAAAAGUUGCUUAAAAUACUUAUUCGAAACAGCCAUUUCCUUGUACUAGAAAAGCCAUUAGGAUUAAAAGAGGAGAGUCUCGUUUAUAUAUUGCACGGUGCAGCAAAUCAGAAAUUUGUUCAUACAGUUCUGGAAGUGCGGAAAGCGGACGUGGCGUUGGUUAGGGUGACAAGAACCACCCAGCAUCGGAGCCAGCCACUGGGGUGAACGCACAUCAAGAGUUUAUCCGGCGCAACAUGUCGUUGGCCUGCAGGAUUAUUGUUAUUUUGCUUCAGGAACGCCGGGAGUUGUUUACGGGAAGCCUGUCGGGAAGAGGCUCAAUGGCUGGCUCUCGUUGGUCGGGAGAGGCGACCGGUAUCCGUCAAAGGUGCGUGGAAUGCUUCCGCUGGUGGAGCCCGAGCUAUUGCUGAGCGUCUCGAUGCUUCCUUCUCGCUGUAGCUCUGUAGUGGGGAGAGAAAAGGCGGCACCACUCUGGUCAGUGCUUCAGCUGAAGAGGCCAGAGACCAACUUGGCUGUGAGUCCUGGGAGAUCUGCUCCCUUCCUUGCAGGCUUUCCCCACCUGGCUUGGGAGGGUUGGGGCCCGGACUGACUCCAACUAAAAAAGCUGGCUCUGGUUAAACAUCUCGCGUCACUCCACGGGUCGCCGUCAGCAGGGAGACGGAAUGUGGGCAACAGCUCCGCCCAAACAUUGCUUUUUUGGCUUCUGAACUCCUUACAAGGUUCCCUGUCUCUUCCUUUAAAGAAAAAACAAACCCCAACAACCUAGUAUUGAUUUUCAUGCCAAUGUUGCAUUUCUUUUUUUCUUUUUUAACAGAAAGAAGGAAAAAGCAAGGUUGGGAACAGGGAAGCAGAUGUUAAUAUUUGCUGAAUCCUGCUUGUCUGUGAAGAUGGAUGAGUGACCUGCUUGCCAAAGCAGAGAGAAGCUCUUUGGGGAGAGGAGGAGGUGACCUGAGGGGCAGCGGAAGCUGGUCUAUUAGGGCAAAUGGGGCAGUGCCUGCCCUCAGCCAGCCCCUUCUUCCUGCCUUCUUUCUUACAACCAGCCCAGGGGAUGGCACUGGCUGAAACUUCCCUUAGUCUUGGUUUUGCCCUUCUAUGGAGGAGGACAGGGACAAAGCUAUAUCUAGUUGGCUCCGCCUGCCAUCGGCACUUGCUUCCCCUAUCUCUGGCUCCACCUACUGUUGGCCUCCCAGUUUCCUGCCUUACCAGUCCUAAAGGGCACCAGCUGCCACUGCUGAAGGGCAGAAAUGUUAGGAUACAUUUCAGGGGAUGAAGCAGUAGCUCAGUAGCAGAGCUUCAGCACCCUUCCUUAAGAUGACACAUGGAAAGCCCCAAGUUCAUCCCUGGCGUUUCCAAGUUGGGCUCAGAAAGGCUCUGGUCUGAAACCACAGAGGUCAUAGAAUUAGAUGAGGACAUCUGGUCCAACCCACUCAUGGCAAGAACCUUGCAAUGACAGCCUGCCUGCAGGGUGGCCCUUCAACCGUUGCUUCAUCCCUCCAGAGGAUAGUGCACCACCUCCUGAGGCAGCCUGCUUUGCUGUCAAACUGCUUUCAUUGGUAGGAAGUUUCUCCUAAUGCACGGGUAGUGUUGGACUAUAAGUCCCAUUAGUUCCAGCCAGCAUGGUAAUUGGGAAGGGAUGAUGGGAGCCGUGGUCCGAAUAUUUACCCAAAGACCUCUUCUCUGCCAUUUCCAGUCACAACUUCUAGUCUGCCCCUGGGCAAGAAAGAGCCAUUUUUCUCCAUCUGCUGUGUGGCAGACCCUCUGAUACUUGGAGCCUGCUGUUGUGUUUCCCCUUGUCGUUCUCUACGCCAGGCUAAAUAGGUCCACCUCUUCCAACCAUUUUUCUUCUUGGUUUUGAGACCCCUCCCAUUCUCCUGGUCCCUCCUCCUUUGGGCACACUCACCAAGUGCCCUUGUUAAACUGUGCUGCCCAGAAUGGGCCAUGGGACUCCUGAUCCACCCAUCCCAGCACUGAAGGUGCCAACAGUGCCCCACCUACAUGUCAGGGCUAGAGCACCUGUAACCCCCUGGCAUUGUUGCACAUUGACUCCCACUGGCCCUAGACAGCAUGGCCAGUGGUCAGGCUCACACAGGAUGUUGUGAUGGCCACCAACUUGGAUAGCUUUGAAAAAGUGGGUUAGACAAAUUCAUGGUGGAUAAGACUAUCCGUGUCUGCUAGCCAUUAUGGCUGUAUACUACCUCCAGUGUCAGAGGCGAUACUGGUUGCUGGGAAUCACAAGGGGGAGGGUUGCUAUUGCGUUCCAGUUCUGCUUGAGGGCUUCCCAUUGGGGCCAUUGGUUGGCCAUUGUGAGAACAGGAUGGUGGACUAGAUGGGCCUUUGGCCUGAUCCAGCUGCAGGCUAAGUUCCAAUGAUGGCAGCUGUAGUCCAGCAACAUCUGGAGGGCAGCAGGUUCCCCGCCAGUAAUCCAGGAAGCUCACAAGUUGUGAUAGCCACCAUCUGCUGGGACCCCUCAGAAGCAGCUUCCCAUCUUUCUGCCCUCCUUAUUCCAGCACUGUGUGUCAGGCAGCCUCUUGUGCUGAGGAUCCCUCCACUUUUGCCCUGGCUAAGUACCCUUUGCCUUUCCUGUUCAACAGCUGGUGUGCAUGCCUCUCCAUCAACCUCCUUUGACCUGUUUCCUCCCACAGUUCUGUAGAUGACAAGCUUAAUUCCCCGCCCCCAGUAAGUAUUUUUGGCACAGGCAGAUCAAUACCAAGAGCUCUUAGUAACUGCCACGGGACACCCAACCAAAGCAAGAAAGCGUGAAAAAGAGACAUUUAAAGAGAGAGAGAGAGAGAACAACCAUCCCACCUCCACUUUCAAGGUGAGAAUGAUUGUGAACUGCAGCACCAGCACAGUGGAAGCCUCAUCACCCUAAGAGCAACCAGUUAAGCAGUCGGCGCAGCAGAAGUUUGACAUGCUUGAAACUCAGAGUUGAACCAAAUAUUGGGGAAACACAAGGGACAGUCAAGGAGGCAGGAAGUUAAAUAUUCUGAGCAGGCGGUUAAAGAAAGCUAAGUGCAAAUAUAUAUGGGUGAAGAGUUCCCGCAAGAAAUUUUCUCCAGUCAAAAUUCAUUUCACCUGACUCUAAAUUCUCACCAGGUGCAAUCAGAUGACAAAUCACGAUGGACUGUCCUAUGGCAUAAUGAGAUGGGAAUGAGGCAGUCCCAGGGCAGCAGACUGGACUGUACCACUUUUGACUGGCAGGUUGGAGAAUCAUGUUUGUGAGUAACAGCAGCACAUCUGCUGCUAUGAUAGGCAGGGUGAGUUUGGGUGGUGGUGGUGGUCCAAAGACCCUCAAGGGAUUUGGGGUUCGUCUAGGACCAGGGAGGUGCAGGCUGAGCUCCUCAGUCAGCCAUGAAGCUCACUGGCUGACGUGGAGUUAAUCACCGUCUUUCUCAGCCUAGCUACAGAUUCUUGAAUCUGUUCUCACAGGAUGGCUUUGAAAGGAUAUUAAGAGAAGGGUGGAAGAGAAGGCUAUUGAUGAGACAUCAUCAUAAGAGGUCUGCUAUAGAGGGGCUGUUUUCCCUCCUGGGGAACAUUCUGGGGGCCGCUUGCCAGUAAUUGGUGGGGCCUGAGGCAAAAGUGGCUGGAUCCAUAACUGUGACACUUAUUUUUCACAACAGGCUACAUUCCACCCAUGCUAAAGCCAGAGGUUUUGCAUCCUACCGUGCUGUCCUCCUUUAAAGAACAGAAGAGACCAGUGCCAAUCACCAUGCGCCUAUCGCCCGCCUUACAUGUGCAGUAGCUACAUUGCAGCCCUGAACAUAUCCCAAAAGUUGGACUACCAGAAGCCCGUAGGACCCUCAGAACCAGAAAGAGACGGGGAAGGAGAGAGCGAGCGGUUGAAGAGAUUGGGAACAUCCACCUGGAGUCGUUCUAGGAUCUUCUUGGAACAUGGAGUUGCUAUCAGUCAUUAUCUUUUGUCUGACUGGGACCCAGAAGCCAUCAAAGGACUCCACGGAAAUCUUAAAAGGAAAGAAGGUCCCGGCUGGCUUUGCUUAAACCUGAAACCAUUUUUAUACGGGACAUUAAUCCGGGGCCUGCUCAGAAACUCUAUGUAGUCCUCCGAUGCCUGGAACACUCAUAAAUUGUUCUGCCUCUCCCCACUUUUCUCUCCCCCCUUUCCGUCUUUCUCUUUCUCUCUCUCUCAACUGUGGAAUCUGCUCUCUGGUGUAUUAGCCCUCCUAAUGGUUUUUCCUUUCUCUCGCUUUCCCUGACAGAAGGAAUUGCUGAGCAGAAGAUUCAAGAAAUAUCCUACUUGGGGAUGAAGAGGGAGGAUACUGGGGGACGGGGAGAAAGGGACUUGCUCCAAAAGCUGUUUCGUCCCUCUCUGUGCCGCCCGCCCUGCCAGGGUUGCACCAUUUCCUGCAGAGGCGCAGGGUGGACAAAAUGAUACAAUGACAGUCGGGGCCGAUGUGUCGGCGGCGGGGGAAGCAGAGUGGCGGCAGGCACAACUUCGGAUCCCAGGAUUCUCCUUCCUCCUCUCCACCUGUCACGACGCAUUAGGCUCAAGCGUGCCCGGCUUGCCGAAGGAGUGACCCCAGACUGAAUGGGAGAGCGCUGGUGGAAAGAACUAAUUGUAGCCUCGUUUUCACACGUCAGUCACUUUUCACAGCGCUGGGCUUUCUGAAGCUUGACUAAUGUUCCUCCCCCCCCUUCAAAUCCCAGUGCUGAAUUACGCUGAGAUGCACCCUGACGAUGGCGUUUCUAAAAGGAACAAGACCUCCAAUGGUGGCAGGAGUGGGGACAAUGGGAACUGGCGCCUGCUGGCCUGGUGAGCUUAUCCACCCGUCCACCCUGCUCUUCCUAGAAGUUCAGGCACCGUUCAGGUCAUUCAUUCGAGUCACAUACUGCCUUGUGCACAAGCCUUAGGGUGGCUUAUGACUAAAUCAAAUAAGAUUAAAAGAAUACAUGUGUGAACCCCCACACCCUUAAAUUAACAACACAACUCAUAACAAGCCACCAAACUGCAAUUUACUCAUCUAACUAAGCCAUUUGUCCAAUUAGGUUUCCUGCAAAUUCUAGCUGGAAAGUGUGUCUUAACCAGUCACCUUAAACUAUGAAGAGGUGUGGCCAGGCAUACCUCAGUAGGGAGUGAGUUUCACAGGCUAGGAACCACCACUGAAAAGUCCCUUCCUUGGCACCUUAAACCAUGCUUACUUGAGUAUAAGGACAGCCAAGAGGGCCUCAUCUCUCAACACACUGGCAGGUUGAUACGAGAUUAUGGGAGGAAA